rnacentral:lncRNA from 1 species
CCACCUACAAACACCAUGCAUAUCUCUAAUUAGUUUCAUAAUACAAGACAUACAUACUCAUGAAAAUAAUUUCAUUCACACAACACAAAUCAAUUUAAUAGCACAAGCCUUAUAUAUCCACACAACUAAUCAUUCAUCCGACUAACGAAAACAAUGGAUCGACUUACCAUGACUAAACUCGACUCGACUCCGCGAGAUCGACAACCAUAUCCGGUUGAGGCGAUUCACCAAGCACUUGGCAAGCGCCUCGCUAAAGCUUUCUUCUCAUCUAAAUUUCCUAGGAUUUACCUCCACCACAAACACAAACAUAUACAGUAAAUAAUCAAAUAUAGGAAUUGGUGGGGAAUAAACAGAACACAAGCAGUUGGUCUCACCUGGGCUACAGAGAUCUGGCAUGUUGCUGCUGCGCCUAGUAUUAAUCAGGGAAAGGAGAGGAGCGACCAUGGAGAAGACUGGAGCAAGGAGGGAGCUCGGCGUGGUCCGAUGGAGGUGGAAGACAGCCAGUGCGCGCCACAACAGAGAAGAUCGACGAGUAGAGAGGGCGAAAUCCAGGGAGGGGCGGCAGCCAGAGGAUGAAGGCGAGGGGAGAUAGGAAACGGGUGGCUCGACAGCGUCCAUGGCUGGGGCAGGGCGAGCUGGGGUUGGGCGACCAUGGGACUUGUGCUUGGGGAAGGAGAUGGGAGAGGGGCUAUCCAUGGCAACAAGAGAGGGGGCUGGCGUCCACACCAUGUGAAGGAGCAGGGAGGGCGCCAUGGGAGAGACGCCGAGGGAGCAGGGAUGACCGGCGAGGCUCUGUAGGAUCGCCGCCUAGGGAGGAGGCGACGUGAAGGAGCUGGCUUCCUAUGCGCAGGGGAUGAGGGAGAGAGCACGGGUGAAGAAACUAGAAGCCUCUGUCUUGCAUACACGGAUAAGAAGGAACGAUAGUGGCCAAGUGAGAAAAAAAUGUGAAUUCUCCUCUCUUAAAAACAGAAACGUAAUUGUUUUCUUAUUAGGAUUUGGAUAAGAGGAUGAGAUCGGCACCAUGAAUAGUGGCUUCGCGAAGGGGUAAGUCAGAGGGUUUAGGCGGUGGAAGGGAGAAAAGAAAUUCAGAUUUUUUGCUCUUUUCUCCAAUUCUUGUUACAAAAGACUAAACAGAUAAUUUAGUUCUCAGAUUAAGUUUGCGCGUGAUGUAAACCAGACGAAACAAAAGAUACCCGUCAAACUAGUACAGACUGCGCUUGAUCAAAUUUUAGAGCAGAUAAUUUUAUCCGUAGUCUGAGCAGGGAAACAGAUUAAUUAUGAAUACUCAGUUCGGUUCUAGUUAUCUCGGUCCGAUUUAAUUUUUGCAUCAAUAUUGUUGUCGUCGAGUUCUAAUAAUAUUUGUUUAGGACGACAAUCACCAGAGUAGGUCGGGGCUCCAAAUUCAUGUUCCCUUAAUCCAUAAUUUUAAAUAGACCUCAGACUUGAUAUUUCGCGAAAUAAAUACGCGAGAUCGAUACAACAUCGAAAUUUGUGAUCCAUUCGGAAGUGACGCCACGCAACGUUCGCGUGGGCGAGAGGUUGUGCUCUGUCCGGAUACCGGUUAGCACCUGCCACGCGCUACGAUGGCAGGCCACAGAGAGACACGUGCAACGCAAGCGUGAAAGAAUUUUAAACGAAGUUUAAAGAACCAGAUUUGAUUUCAAAGAUUGUAGUUUGGGCAAGACGUCGAGGGCUCAGCCCAAACGAUAUUGGAUUCGAUGUUCCGAAGAUUACCAAAGGCUGAAUUUUAAAAGAAAUAGAUUUGGAAAAAUUUAGACAGAUGGAGGCAGACACGAUAUCAAAAUCGUGAUAAACGAGGUUGAUUAAAAAUUAGUGACCUUUACAUUCAUAGCUAUCACGUGUUAACGUCCGCACUAAUGGUCGAGCAGACGAUAAACACCUGGGGUGUUACAGCCCUCCCCCCUUAAAAGAAUCUCGUCCCGAGAUUCGGAGCGAAAGACUUUUAAGAGUAGAGCAGCAUGUAACCCUUGUCCAUAUCAGCGAUAACAAAGGCAGUUCCAAGCAAAGGCGAGUGUCUUAGAAUGUGGUUUCUCUAGCGGACAUAGCAUGUAUCGCCUUAGGCUAAUUUAGAAUGUCCACCAAUAGAGACAAUGUCUACCAGAAGAACACAUAAGGUUCUGUGUGUGCAGUUUGCUUUUUCUGAUGACACUGUACUAUCUGAGUCUGUUGGGCGAGUGGCAAUUACACGAUUUUACCCAAAUAGAAUCAGAUGCAACCUCUUGGGUAAAUCACACAGAAAGAGGUUUACCAACAAGGGGUCACGGUAAGCCCGUAGCACAUGAGACGGGUGUGGAUGUCGAAUACUGUCGCGGUUAACAUGUGGCUAACCCGAGAAUUCAAGUCCACAAACGAUAGUAGAGACUUGAGAAAAUAUCAAUGAAAAGAUCCAUUGAUGCUGACUUCGCAACCAACCCAUUUCAUCAAAUACUUAGCACGGCUCGACAUGAUCACACAUGUUAGAAAAUCACAUGUGAUACGAUCGAGGCAUGACUAGAACGAUAAUUAGGUGAUUAUUAGUCGAUUUUAACCUGAUCUUUGUAAGAACUUUCUUAGGAUGGGUUGAACCAAAGUGAGUUUAGAUAACUCGACAAAACGAUCUCUAAACUCAACCUUUGUUCACAAUACAGUUACAAAUUAGUAAAACCAACUUGUUGAACUACCUUUGACAUUGAGCAAGUCCUCUUAUUACCCAUCGGCAAGUCAAGGGUUGAGGGUUCACAUUUGCUAGCAGGAGGUCAAAUACUUGAAUAGAGAUCCAUUCCACCAUGUUGUUCAUUUAUCUCCUUUAUGACAAACCAACAGGGUUGAAAAUGCAUGGGUCAACAAAGGAGCGAAUGAACAAACUCCUGCAUCUUAGCAACAUAGGAAAGAAAUCUCGAUUUGAGAACUAAUCAGGUGUCUCUCAACACUAAAAAGCUCCAAGACUUCACCUUUACAACAAAGGAUGCAAAGGGAACUUGUAGGUGUACAAUCACCACCAAAGCCAACAGAAAAGAUACCAUACAUGAAUGGGGUGAUUUUACCACACAACUAGAUACAGAUAGGUUUCGAUUUUCGAUGAAGACUUCUGAACUGGUAAGAACUUCACCUAAGGAAUACAUCAGAGUUAUAUACUCUUUUGAUCUAAAAGUGAUGGCAUAUGUUGUUUGAUUGUUUCAGCAAACAACACAAAAAUCGUUUCAAGGGAGGAGUCCACGGAAGAUCACACAUCAGUGUAGUUCCACAAUGGAUCAUGACCAAAGACCUCGAUACCAGAAUGCGCCAAGCAGCAUAACCUUGCGUGUACAUUCACAAGGGGAUCUCAGUUUCGCGGCGGCACCAAAAAUCAUUAAUCGUGACACCAUUACCGAACAUCACCAAUAAAGAAUCUCACAUAGCGUAAAAAGAUUGUGCCAAGAUAACACAUUGAUAUAGUCUCAUAAUGGAUUACAACUACUAACCAUGAUACCAGCGCGUGCCGAGCAGCACAACCAUGUGUGUACAUUCACAGGAGGCCCUCGGUUUCGUCGCAGCACCAUCGGUUUUAGUCAUAACACCAUUACCAGCUGUAACCAAUAAGAAAUCUCAUGCAGUACAAAUGGAUUGAGCAAGGGUGACAAUAUACAAUGAGACUCCACCUGUAAGAAUAAUUACAAGUAGAGCCAAAUAGAUCAUGGCCCGAUGAAAUGAACAAGACAUGGCCAUAACCUAAACUUGAUGAAAGGAGUACGACGGGAGACUGUUAUUUCAGCCCCAAGCAUAUUUCUAUGCCCAUCGCAGAGAUUACAAGGUUAAGGAUUAGUAUCUGAUUAGAUACGGAGGGAAAACAAUCAUAAGAUUAAGUUGGUAUGCCUUUGAAAGAUAUGAGAAAACCAAAGGCAUUAAAUUCAAGAAAACUAUUGGGCAUUCCUUUCCUAGGUUAGAUUGAAAAAGCAACAAUGUGAUUCUCAUGGAGAGGCAAAGCAGAAUAGAACCAUCAGCUUGCACCAACCGAAACAAGGCGAAGCUUAGGAAGAAAACAUGACCACUGUGAGUCAUGGAUUAAGCGACAAGAACACGGACUUGAGAUCUUUGUCUUAAGAUUGAGUGCACCUUUUGUCCAACAGGGAGACUACUGGCCAAAUUAAAGAAACCUACAAUCUAUACAGGUACAUACCUCUAAUCGUCCAACACACGAAGACGAGAAAUUCCAUACACCCGCACAUGACUUUUAAUUUGAACUUAGUGUCUUUCCAUAAGAAAAAAGAAAACAAACAACAACUCAUGUAGUUUAAUGGCCAAAGGAUUAGACAAUCACCAUACCUUCUACUCAACCAAGCGAGAGAAACACAUAUACUACCUAACGAGGUGUCUAAAGGAUAGAGGACAAGGAACUCGUUGAAGUUCAUAGGAUAGCGAUACUUCACAUAGUUUCCAAUUAUUUAUUAUCGGAAUAAAGAUGAGAAAAGCAUGUUCGUUCACAAUCACUAAUUAUUAGAAUAAAGAUGAGAGAAGCAUAUUUGUGCACAAACGACAAACACAAUGCAAAAAUCAGGAUGCAUGCUCGUCCUAUUCGUCCACACUGAUUUUGCCAACAUAAUGUGGCAAUAGCGUUCUAUAUCGGUGGCAUACCUACGUUCUCUCUCGAUAUAUUGCUAGUCGUCAGCUACACAUACGAGUUCGAAGUUAGUGUACCUGCAGAAAAUUUCAUCACAGCCCAGUUCCCAAUGAUGCAAUUCACACAUGACAGUUUAUCACAGUUUAUACUCCAUAUAUUUCUAUAUGGAGGCCAGCUCCUCAUUAAGCGCCGAGCCACGCAUAGGCGUCGCUGCCACACUUUAACCAUAGGGCAGCUCAUUAUGGUAACUCACCUUCUUACCUGAGCGUAGGUGCGUCGUUGCAAAUACAUUACACUUCUCAGUAUUCCCAUGUCUGUAUACCCAUAGACAUCCAUGGGGUACUGAAUCCCGGAAAAGUAAUUACUCCACAUCGCAGCCUUCAUAUAUACAUAUGUGUAACAUGUAUAUAAUCAAGCGCCACAAUUAAGCACUCCCCUAGACCGGCAUUUGUUCGGUCAUGCUCUCACAACUCACGUUACCUGAGCGUCGAUCCAUUCAAAACUGAAUGGCCUCAAGAAUAACAAUACACAUGUAUGCAAUACCCUUCCCUGGUUGUGGGUUAGUAUUCUCAACUAAGCCACCUAGUAGUCCUUAACUUAGGGCUUAACAGAGGAUGUCGCUAGCAUUAUAGUUUUUUUAAAUCUGUUUUUCAAAAUCAAACAAUGUGUUUAGUUGAAAAUAGGUUUUUGAAACCAAAACUUUGUUUUAAAAAUACGUAUGUGACCGUAUUAUACUUAAUACAGCUCCGAUACCAGCUGUCGCAGAACCUCCCAAGUUAUCGGGCCCACAUGCACUUGUCCUUGUCUCAACGACCUCAGACGGGUAUGCAUGUGCACCAAACAACUUAACAGGAUCUGUCCGAGUGCCCCAAGGACCCCGGAUAAACGACUUACCGCCAAGAUCGCAGGAUUAAGUAAACACAAAUCACACACCAACAUUUGCAGCGGAAAUAAAUUCUUUAUUGCAAAAUGAUUACAUGUUACAAUAAGUUUACAUUAUACAAUUAUCGGAGUGAUUACAAAAGAAAGUGAUUCAAAAGAAUUACAAUUUAAAAUGUAUAAAAUAUUUAUAGGUUUUAAAAUACAUGCUAGCUUAAGUGACAAUCCUCAAUAAAGAAGCUAAAGAUGGGAUAUACUUAUAUAAGAAGGCCGAACCCACCGGCACUUAGCACCAUCCACAACAGAACAAAAUUACAACCUGAAAAACAACAGGGAAUAAAACCCUGAGUACGCAAUUACUCAGGAAGACUUACCCGACUAAAGAAAAGACUCUCAAGGAUAUGCUGGUUUAUCGGGAAUCAAGGUAAAGCUUAUCAAAUUUCAAAGACUCAUUUUCGCAGAAAAGCUUACUAGUAGUGGAUCCUUAUGCAAAAAUUUUACUUCACAAAUUAAGUACUUUUCCUGAAUCUAGAUUUGCCUAAUCUAGAGCAUUCACUUGUCCUACACUAGCUUCAUUUUAGCAGCUUUAGUUUCACUUGUUAUCUACGAUGAGGGUCGAAGAUCCAGUCUUCAUAUCCGAGAAGUUCGGCGAUCCGAAUCGAUUAAUACCCAGCUGGGGAUCUCCAACCACACGACAUAUGUAGCACUUAACCCUUGCAUAUGUCAACUCGCCACCGGGUUUCUCAAGACCAGAACGGGUCCCCGCCAACCGAGAGCUCAGUACCCCACCAUCCAGCCUCUUGCCAGGUGGAUACACGAUACUCUCGCCAUCUCUCCACUCCCAUUGCGGGCCGGCCUUUCUGGUAUUGGUCCAGCCGAGGCUAAGCUUACCCAUGAUGAGGCAUGUGGCCAGUUAAAGGGUCCUAGAUCAGCAGGCCAACAAUCGGAACGGUCCUUAAUCGACGCAGACGGGCGACCUUUCCUGCUCAACGUCUGGUCUCAUAUUAAAAUAAUUCUGAAAACCUGGUACCUGUCAGAGGUACCCUACUGAAAUGAUGAAGUCAUCAAGGCCUUUGAUACCUUCAUCAUUCCAGCCCCUUUUUCCUUGUAAAAACAUGAUUCAUACAUCAAAAUAUUUUGUUCCUUGUCUAUAAGCAGGCUAAGCAUAUCUAGCUUUUCAAAUCAGGUAUCAAGGAUGAUAAUCAAUAAUUCAAGGAAGUUAUGCAGCAAAGGUUUAACCAUUCAACUCCUAAACUACUGAACCUAUGGUCAUGAAAUUUUUACACAAGCAAGGUAAAAAGAUUAUCUACAAGUUUUAUAUAUAAUACUUCUACAGAAAACACGGUUUACUUUACUUAACUAGCCACGUAAUAAAAUUGGACAUGCAGUCCAAACAGCAAGAACUCUAACUUAGAUCUUAUUUAACUUCUACACUUAUCAUGCUUUUAACAUUUAGAACACUCAACACUUUAUCUUUAGUAGAACUAAAACCACAUAAUACAACAAGGCAUUCAUGUCACCAUACAUUAGAAAUUCACUCAACCACUAAUAAAUCUUAUCGGCAAAGCGCUAUAAGUACUAAACGUUGUUUUUACAUUAUUAACUUGAUCACUCAAUUCAUAUACAAUAACCAAAUCAUCUAUACUUGAGAAAUAUCUUUACCAAAAUACUCUAGGCAUAAUCCACCUACAAACACCAUGCAUAUCUCUAAUUAGUUUCAUAAUACAAGACAUACAUACUCAUGAAAAUAAUUUCAUUCACACAACACAAAUCAAUUUAAUAGCACAAGCCUUAUAUAUCCACACAACUAAUCAUUCAUCCGACUAACGAAAACAAUGGAUCGACUUACCAUGACUAAACUCGACUCGACUCCGCGAGAUCGACAACCAUAUCCGGUUGAGGCGAUUCACCAAGCACUUGGCAAGCGCCUCGCUAAAGCUUUCUUCUCAUCUAAAUUUCCUAGGAUUUACCUCCACCACAAACACAAACAUAUACAGUAAAUAAUCAAAUAUAGGAAUUGGUGGGGAAUAAACAGAACACAAGCAGUUGGUCUCACCUGGGCUACAGAGAUCUGGCAUGUUGCUGCUGCGCCUAGUAUUAAUCAGGGAAAGGAGAGGAGCGACCAUGGAGAAGACUGGAGCAAGGAGGGAGCUCGGCGUGGUCCGAUGGAGGUGGAAGACAGCCAGUGCGCGCCACAACAGAGAAGAUCGACGAGUAGAGAGGGCGAAAUCCAGGGAGGGGCGGCAGCCAGAGGAUGAAGGCGAGGGGAGAUAGGAAACGGGCGGCUCGACAGCGUCCAUGGCUGGGGCAGGGCGAGCUAGGGUUGGGCGACCAUGGGACUUGUGCUUGGGGAAGGAGAUGGGAGAGGGGCUAUCCAUGGCAACAAGAGAGGGGGCUGGCGUCCACACCAUGUGAAGGAGCAGGGAGGGCGCCAUGGGAGAGACGCCGAGGGAGCAGGGAUGACCGGCGAGGCUCUGUAGGAUCGCCGCCUAGGGAGGAGGCGACGUGAAGGAGCUGGCUUCCUAUGCGCAGGGGAUGAGGGAGAGAGCACGG